GACGACACGACAAGCCACUCGGGUCCAAAAAGUGGGUACCAAAUCGACCUACCCCUCCGGUUCCUGGGGAACUGGAAAUGUCAAAGUGGAAACGUCAAACAAAUAUUCGAAAAAAUCUUUAAUUUGGCAGCACUGGCUUGCUGACAGCGAGAAAUGUCAUUUUGACAAAACAUUUUUUUUCGUGAUUUGUUACUGAUCUGGGAGGAACGUGACGUCCUGCGGCUUUCCGUCUGCACCGGGCCAAGUCCGGUACCGUUGGCCAACCUACGAUAGCGUACUCACCACCGGUCAGCUUAACGACGUUGGGUUAGUGGGCGGAGUUCUUUCUACCCCGAAGCAGAACGAGUGUGGGAUGCGGAUCGACGGCGGAGAGGAUGCCGAUUUGGACGAGUUCCAUGGUUGGCAAUGCAAGAACACGAAAAUUUCCGGGCCUAGUGCAAGUUCAGCUGUUAAGUUUUGCUGGUCAACAACCGGUACGUGGUCACGGCGGCACAUUGAGUGGUCGGAAGACGGAGGGAACGCUGUAAGUGCUAUUCAGCGUCCGGUUGGUCGAUUGUGACACCACGACCAAGAUCGAAUGCAUCGAGAAGGACGACGAGGAGAUUUGUGCUGAUCUACCGGUGGACGUGGCACUGUAGGAGAAGAUCCCCCACCCGGUAUACGGUACUGAGCAAGUUAAACAAAAUUGCGCUACUAGGGAUGGCUCGGGACGACAGUAAACAGACUUUAUCCUGCCUGUCUGUCUUUUGCUGCCAGAAUUAGGUUUUCGGUGGCCGGUGACGUCAACUUUGAGCCGCAGUCCAAUCAAGCAGAAGCUGGGCAUCAAGGUGUACGAGCAAAAACGGUGCCGGACGUUACGCGAAACAGCUGCACGCUGAUUAAGCUGCCGAAGGUUUGGACGCUGGAGGGCUUGGCGUACGGGAAUCGCUGUGACAUCGAGGAUUGGGCCGGGAUUUACUCGGGGUGCUCGCGUACAUGGACUGGUUCUGUUGUAGUCAUGUGCAAGCUUCCGUUACAAACGGAAUUGCGCGACCUCCUGUUGUGUGCUGCAGUUCAAAACUAUUAAACCAAGAAAUCGUGUUGUCUACGUGGUGAUGAUGAAAUUAUUGAGCAAACAAGACUUAUUUUUUAUUUCUCUUCAAAGACGCUUUGCCGAGGUCGGGAAAAAAAGGAAUUUCCAUAAAAAUUCCCCUUUUUCUCGAGCUUGGGAGUUUUGGUGUGAAUGAAAACUCAGUGAUCCAAACUUCUACUAACAAAUCCAGAACAAAGGUGUCUCAUUGCUCCGUCGAAGCUGGUACUAGGAGCUUUCUUCUUGCCGUCCGGCAGCAUCAGGGUGUUGAUUUUGGACACCUUGAUGUCCUACAGUUGCUUGACCGCAGCCGUAGCCAGGGCGUGGUUCUUUGUUAACGAAUCAGGAACUCGAACUUCUUCAUCACAGCUUCCGUCAUACGCGUCUAUGAGCCUGCGGAUCGGCAUCGACUUGCGCGGGAACUUGCCCUAAUGACCUAUUUUCUAGGUUAGACCGGUGCCAACAGUUACUUUCCCAUCCGACGGAAGGCGCGAUCAGACGAAUCUCGCGCCAAUAAACAACAGAAUUUAUUUCUCCUUUUAUUUUAGAAUAAAUUUCAAUACAAAUAUUUAUAUACCAAAACUUCCUGUAAAACGUUAGGUGGAAUUAAAAAGA